CCGCGCGCUAUUUCAUGACGUAAUGCAACUAUUAGCACCAACAGUCUGCCUGCUAAUUUUCCCCCUAAUAUCUACUGUUGCCAUUGUUUGAGAUUUAGGAUUGAUGGGACCACAUGUGCUCUGGGAUUUGUCUAAGGUGUUUAAAAUACAUCGAAAGGGUUAGGGUUCAGAGGCCAGUAGUGGAGACUGUGUGUGUUUGACACCACUGUCCUCCAGGCUCCUGGACGCCUCAGGAGGGGGCAGGAUGUGAUGUCACAGCGGCGCUCCCUUCUUCCUGUCCGGCGGUGUGUGUGAGAGAGGUGGAGGCUCCACCUAGAUUAACAGGAGAGAUGUUUGAGGUGAAACCCCGUGGUGUGGAGAAGAAGGGCGGAAGCACAGAGACUGGUGAGUGAAGAGGAAUGGGGAGAAGAGUGGAGGAGAUACUGAGGAGAGAGGUAAACAGGAGGAGAGGGGGCAGUAGAUACUGAGGAGAGAGGUAAACAGGAGGAGAGGGGGCGGUAGAUACUGAGGAGAGAGGUAAACAGGAGGAGAGGGGGCGGUAGAUACUGAGGAG
ensembl:lncRNA